rnacentral:pre_miRNA from 1 species
CGUGGCCUGCGGUGCCGUGCAGGUGCGUCCGCCUCCUCUGCACGGCACCGCAGGCCCCGCCC